rnacentral:rRNA from 1 species
UAGCAAUACUUAGUGGCAGACGGGUGAGUAACAUGUAGGUAUCUACCCUUUGGCCUGGAAUAACACGAGGAAACUUGUGCUAAUACCGGAUAAGUCUUUACGGAGAAAGCUUUAUGCACCAUUGGAUGAGCCUGCACUUGAUUAGUUUGUUGGUGGGGUAAUGGCCUACCAAGACUGUGAUCAAUAGCUGAUUUGAGAGGAUGAUCAGCCACAUUGGGACUGAGACACGGCCCAAACUCCUACGGGAGGCAGCAGUGGGGAAUCUUGCACAAUGGAGGAAACUCUGAUGCAGCGAUGCCGCGUGAGUGAAGAAGGCCUUUGGGUUGUAAAGCUCUUUCGUCGGGGAAGAAAAUGACUGUACCCGAAUAAGAAGGUCCGG